rnacentral:rRNA from 1 species
UACGUAGGGAGCAAGCGUUGUCCGGAAUCAUUGGGCGUAAAGCGCGCGUAGGUGGCCAUGUAAGUCCGCUGUGAAAGUCAAAGGCUCAACCUUUGAAAGCCGGUGGAUACUGCAUGGCUAGAGUACGGAAGAGGCGAGUGGAAUUCCCGGUGUAGCGGUGAAAUGCGCAGAUAUCGGGAAGAACACCCGUGGCUAAGGCGGCUCUCUAGUACGGUACUGACGCUGAGACGCGAAAGCGUGGGGAGCGAACAGG